rnacentral:rRNA from 1 species
GACGAACGCUGGCGGCGUGCUUAACACAUGCAAGUCGAACGGAAAGGCCCUGCUUUUGUUGGGUGCUCGAGUGGCGAACGGGUGAGUAACACGUGGGUAACCUGCCCUUGACUUUGGGAUAACUUCAGGAAACUGGGGCUAAUACCGGAUAGGAGCUCCUGCUGCAUGGUGGGGGGUGGAGAGUUUCGGCGGUUGGGGAUGGACUCGCGGCUUAUCAGCUUGUUGGUGGGGUAGUGGCUUACCAAGGCUUUGACGGGGAGCGGGCCUGAGAGGGUGACCGGCCACAUUGGGACUGAGAUACGGCCCAGACUCCUACGGGAGGCAGCAGUGGGGAAUAUUGCACAAUGGGGGGAAGCCUGAUGCAGCAACGCCGGGUGCGGGAGGACGGCCUUCGGGUUGUAAACCGCUUUCGCCUGUGCCGAAGCGUGAGUGACGGUAAUGGGUAAAGAAGCACCGGCUAACUACGUG